UCACUCACAGAGCAGAUUUAGCCUCAGCCAUGGUUACCAGCCUGUUCAUGCAUUUAGCAGUGGUACAUCUAAUCUGUGCAAGAAAACAUCCACAAUUUAAUUAGAAAAUACAGUAAAUUGGUUUUGACUGAUACAGCAUGAGGUGAAUGACUAAGUGAAAGCGAUUUAUAUGUAAGGCCGGUGUUUCUUCCAUGAUUUGACGAUAAGAUGCAACUGUGUAACUGUCUGCUUCUAUUUGACUACUGUCUCCUACACUACAUGUUGUGACUUACAGUGUAGGAUCUUAAUUUGAGGAAAUUUGCUACAGCAAUAAAAUUGUCCUGCAGCAACAAGAAAUGUGAAUUAUUAUGUGGAAUAUAAUUAAUGUAUAUUUUUGUAGGUGUUGAUAAAUUUUUCGUCAGGGAAAAUCAAUUCUGAAAUUUUGAAAGUGGAAAUUAAAACUUUAGAACCUUUUUUAAAGCUAAAAUACACUACAAGUUUUCAGCAACAAAAGAGUGAUCUAAUGAAGAUAGUACAUCUGUAAGGUCCAUGUGCUAAUGGAUCAUUCCUAUUUAUUUUUAUCUUGUCAAGGCUUGAGAUUGUCAAGGCCAAACAAGGAAAUUAAUCCUUCUAGUUGAAAUCGGAUAUCAGCUUAUUUUCUCGUUUAUGGUGUCCAAAUUCGUCAUCGAGUAACAGAAAACAAAUAACAACAUUUAUCCAAUUUUUCAUUUAAUUCAUACCUGGAAGUACACGCUGCCUAAUAUAAUAUUCACAGUGCAUAGCAGGUGUUUGCUUAGUCUGGGUUGAGCUGCAGUGUCGGCAGCAGAGUGCUGGGGACGAACAAAAUCUGAAUACAAGCUUUGGGUGGAUAGGCAAUGGCAUGGCAAGAGAGAUUGGGGUUGUUUGGGAGGGAGUUUAUCCUCUCAGUGGUUCUUCCUGCUAUUCUACCUUGGUUUCUCCCUCAGCCUGUGAUAUAUCUAGGGUUGCUUGAGAGGCUAAGAGCUGUUGAGGAAGGAGUAGAUUCAGUUGUAAGUGAACAUUUAAGAACACAGUACUAUGCUUUCUUGAAUAUAUUCACAGAUGGAUCUAAGGACCCUAAAACAGGGAGGACAGGUGCAGCUUGUAGUGUUCCUGAGUUUAAGGUGGCAGUGACAAAAAGAGCCACGGAUCAUUUAUCUGUUUACACAUUGGAGUUGUUGGCCAUACUAUUGGCUGCAGAGUGGGUGGAGGAGGUGAGGCCAGACAGGGUAGUCAUCUGCUCUGACUCCUGUGCAGCACUGAUGAGCAUAAAUUAAUUUGUGUCUCAGAGCAGACAGGAUGUGUUGUAUGAGGUUUUGCAGUGCUUGUAUAGGGUGAGACAGAUCGUGGUAUUUGUGAUGUUCCUCUGGGUACCAGCUCAUAUGGGAGUAGAGGGGAAUGAGGAGGUGGAUGUUAUCACUAAGUAGGCUCUUAAAGAUCCUAAUGUUGAGAUGGAAUUGUCAAUCAGUAAAGCAGAAGCCAAAAGGUUAAUAAGAACAGUGGUUAAAAACAAAUGGCAAGAGUUGUGGAAUCAGGGAGAGAAAGGGAAGACCCCUGUAUAAGAUCCAGGAACAGGGAGAGAAAGGGAGGACACCUGUAUAAGAUCCAGGAACAGGGAGAGUAAGGGAAGACCCCUGUAUAAGAUCCAGGAACAGGGAGAGAAAGGGAAGACCCCUGUAUAAGAUCCAGGAACAGAGAGAGAAAGGGAAGACACCUGUAUAAGAUCCAGGAACAGGGAGAGAAAGGGAAGACCCCUGUAUAAGAUCCAGGAACAGGGAGAGAAAGGGGAAGACCCCUGUAUAAGAUCCAGGAACAGGGAGAGAAAGGGAAGACACCUGUAUAAGAUCCAGGAACAGGGAGAGAAAGGGAAGACACCUGUAUAAGAUCCAGGAACAGGGAGAGAAAGGGAAGACACCUGUAUAAGAUCCAGGAACAGGGAGAGUAAGGGAAGACCCCUGUAUAAGAUCCAGGAACAGGGAGAGAAAGGGAGGACACCUGUAUAAGAUCCAGGAACAGGGAGAGAAAGGGAGGACACCUGUAUAAGAUCCAGGAACAGGGAGAGAAAGGGAAGACACCUGUAUAAGAUCCAGGAACAGGGAGAGUAAGGGAAGACCCCUGUAUAAGAUCCAGGAACAGGGAGAGAAAGGGAGGACACCUGUAUAAGAUCCAGGAACAGGGAGAGAAAGGGAGGACACCUGUAUAAGAUCCAGGAACAGGGAGAGAAAGGGAGGACACCUGUAUAAGAUCCAGGAACAGGGAGAGAAAGGGAGGACACCUGUAUAAGAUCCAGGAACAGGGAGAGAAAGGGAGGACACCUGUAUAAGAUCCAGGAACAGGGAGAGUAAGGGAAGACCCCUGUAUAAGAUCCAGGAACAGGGAGAGAAAGGGAAGACCCCUGUAUAAGAUCCAGGAACAGGGAGAGAAAGGGAGGACACCUGUAUAAGAUCCAGGAACAGGGAGAGUAAGGGAAGACCCCUGUAUAAGAUCCAGGAACAGGGAGAGAAAGGGAAGAUACCUGUAUAAGAUCCAGGAACAGGGAGAGUAAGGGAAGACCCCUGUAUAAGACCCAGGAACAGGGAGAGAAAGGGGAAGACCCCUGUAUAAGAUCCAGGAACAGGGAGAGUAAGGGAAGACCCCUGUAUAAGAUCCAGGAACAUGGAGAGAAAGGGAAGACACCUGUAUAAGAUCCAGGAACAGGGAGAGUAAGGGAAGACCCCUGUAUAAGAUCCAGGAACAGGGAGAGAAAGGGAAGAUACCUGUAUAAGAUCCAGGAACAGGGAGAGUAAGGGAAGACCCCUGUAUAAGAUCCAGGAACAGGGAGAGUAAGGGAAGACCCCUGUAUAAGAUCCAGGAACAGGGAGAGUAAGGGAAGACCCCUGUAUAAGAUCCAGGAACAGGGAGAGAAAGGGAAGACACCUGUAUAAGAUCCAGGACAAGGUGUGGACAGGUAGGUCCUCAGGCCGAGAGAGAAGGGAGGAAAGUAUAGUCACAAGGCUGAGACUGGGACACACAAGGCUAAAUAGUACAUUGAAAUUCGCAGGGAAACAUUCGACUGGGGUGUGUGAUCAUUGUCAGGAGGAGAUGGAGACAGUUGAACAUGUUCAGUUUCAGUGCAAGGAAUAUGUGAGGGAAAGGGAGUGAUUGUUAUUAGAUUUGAGGUAUAACAGGGUUAAGUGAACUGGGGAACUCUUCAGGGGCUGUAGUAUUUAAUUUCCUUAGGGAGAUGAGAUUAUUGGGUAUGAUUUAGACCUUCACUGUCUCUGGUCCACACUCCAGUCAAUUGGGUGGCGCUAAUGCACCUGAAAGUUUGUUGCCAACCGCCAUAUAAAAUCCACAGAAGAAGAAGCAGGAGUAGAGCGCUCGUCAAAGGAGUCAGCUCAAGGGUGACGACGGAUGUUGAAUACAUGAAGAGAAUUCCUGGUGUGGUUGGUGCCCGGUGUCUGACCUGCUGGGUGAAUGGGGAAAAAGAAGGAAGUCUGUCGGUCCUGUUGUUUUUUUGAUAAAGAGCAAAUACCUACGCAUGUGAAGCUUGAUUAUGUAAGAUACGCCGUAAGAACUUUCGUCCAAAAACCACUGUGGUGUAAGAAUUGUAAAGGAUUUGGCCAUGUUUCAAGUGUGUGCAGACGAACAGAGUAUAGUGAAGAACGGUGUGUAGAAGGAGAACGGUGUUGCAAUUGUGGUAGGGAUCAUGUUCCUGGAGUGCCCUGUAAGGGUGAAGGAAAUUGAGGUGGCAAAUGUUAAAACUCUGAGAUAUGUGGGAUGCUAGCGUCCCACCUCAACAACAGCCAGUGAAAUUGCAGGGCGCCAAAUUCAAAACAACAGAAAUACCAUAAUUAAAAUCAAACAUACAAGUAUUAUACACCAUUUUAAAGAUAAACUUUUUGUAAAUCCAACCACAGUGUCCAAUUUCAAAUAGGCUUUACGGCGAAAACACACCAAACGAUUAUGUUAGGUCAGCACCUAGUCACAGAAAACCAUACAGCCAUUUUCCAGCCAAGGAGAGGGCUCACAAAAGUCAGAAAUAGCGAUUAAAUGAAUCACUAACCUUUGAUGAUCUUCAUCAGAUGGCACUCACAGGACUUCAUGUUACACAAUACAUGUGUGUUUUGUUUAAUAAAGUUAAUCUUUAUGUCCAAAAACCUCAUUUGAAAUUGGUGUGUUAUGUUCAGAAAUGCAUUGUCUCAAACAAACAUCUGGUGAAAGUGCAGAGAGCCACAUCAAAUUACAGAAAUACUCAAAAUGAACAUUGAUAAAAGAUACAAGUGUUAUGCAUGGAAUUAUAGAUAAACUUCUCCUUAAUGCAACCGCUGUGUCAGAUUUCAAAUAGGCUUUACGGCGAAAGCACACCUUGCGAUUAUUUUAGGUCAGCACCUAGCCACAGAAAAACAUACAGCCAUUUUCCAAAGAAGGAGAGGUGUCACAAAAGUCAGAAAUAGCGUUAUAAAUAUUCACUUACCUUUGAUGAUCUUCAUCGGAAUGCACUCCCAGGAAUCCCAGUUCCACAAUAAAUGUUUGUUUUGUUCAAUAAAGUCCAUCAUUUAUGUCCAAAUACCUCCUUUUUGUUCGUGCAUUUAGCCCAGUAAUCCAAAUGCUCAAUGCACGAUCGCUUAGUUCAGACAAAGUUAAAAAAGUUAUAUAACAGUUCGUAGAAACAUGUCAAACGAUGUAUAGAAUCAAUCUUUAGGAUGUUUUUAUCAUAAAUCUUCAAUAAUGUUUCAACCGGACAAUUCCUCUGUCUUUAGAAAGGAAAAGGAACGCAGCUAACUCUCACGGGCGGGCGCCUGACUGAGCUCAUGGCAUUCUGCCAGACACCUGACUCAAACAGCUCUUAUUCUCUCCCCCGUCACAGUAGAAGCCUGAAACAAGGUUCUAAAGACUCUUGACAUCUAGUGGAAGCCUUAGGAAGUGCAAUAGGACCCCAUAGACACUGUAUAUUCGAUAGGCAAUGACUUGAAAAACUACAAACCUCAGAUUUCCCACUUCCUGGUUGGAUUUCUUCUCAGGUUUUUGCCUGCCAUAUGAGUUCAGUUAUACUCACAGACAUCAUUCAAACAGUUUUAGAAACUUCUGAGUGUUUUCUAUCAAAAUCUACUAAUUAUAUGCAUAUUCUAGCUUUUGGGCCUGAGUAGCAGGCAGUUUACUCUGGGCACCUUAUUAUCCAAGCUACUCAAUACUGGCCCCCCAGUCCCAACGAAGUUAAAGCAGUCAAAUCGCUUAUGCGGAGGCGAUUAAAAUAAUUGAGAAACAAGUGAUGCUAGUGAAGAUAUAGUAGUGGAUACACCACAGCCUGAAGUAAAUGUUUGCUGCCAGACAGAAUAAAACCUGUGUGUCUUUAAAAAGGAGAUUUUUUUUGGCAUUCAUUGUCACAGUUAGAAACUGUAGAGCACAAGUCAUAAAGAACUCAAAAAAACUGGACAUUAUUGUGGCUGUGGCAGAAAAGUUUUUGGGACUCAAGGAUUUUACAUUGAAGACUUGCAAGAGGUACUGGCGCGGGAAGACCUGCCCUGGUACUGGCGCGGGAAGACCUGUUCCCCUUGAGCCUGUGUAGGGAUCAGAUCUGUUUCAUUAAUUUAUUUUUAACAGAAAAGUUGUUAUAUUUUAUUAUUUGGGGGGGGAAUCCUGUUUCCAUCCCGUGUAGUUGGUGUCGGGAUUGCACAUUAAAUUGUGUGGUCGCCAAAAUGCCGUAGAAGACGUUUCGGGCAGGACAGAGAAAGGAUUAAACAAUUUUGUGACAGCCAGGAAGAUACAACUUGGAAUGGUAGCUAAGAUGCUUAACUUAUCAUGAAGUUAGCAUGCCAAUAGGAUGAACUCCACAACAACUGAACAUAGUUGGCUUGCACCACCUGGAUAGCUAGCGUUAGCCGGCUAACGUUACUGCUGACUAGUAGCAGGCUGGCUAGCUAGCCCUACCUGGCUACUGGCUAUAGUCAUGCUCGCUAGUAGUAGCUAGUGGAAGUAAGUUAGUCUCUCGACCAGCUACAAGAUGAAACUGCCCGGCCAGAGGUACCUGCUGCAGAAAGGUGAGAUUUCUACAGUACUUUCUGUAGCUAAUUUAGCUAGAUAGUCUGUCUGGCUGGUGCUUAUUGACUGAGUAGACUAAUAAUGAACUGCAGUUAUUGUGAAUGGUUACCCAUCUGGCCCUUUGCAUAGCUAUUUCUUACACAUUCAAUACAACUAUAUCCAGUUAGCUACAGUCAAUGCUGAUAAUGUGUGUGUAUAUGUGUGUGGUGGGGGGGGCCUGCAAAAGGACAGACGGCAUCUGAGCAGAUCAUCAACUUCAUCCAGUUACAUCAGCCAAUACAGUAAAUUACAAUCGGGGUCUGCCCUGACAGUCCUGACGAACGACAGAGAGGACUACAUCUUCACCACGGCAAACAGAUCCCUCUGUCCAGACCUUCAGUUCUGUUACCGGUACAAGAAAUUCACGACCUACUUCCAUCAACUGUUCAGUCGUCUAGAGUGUUGGGCAGUCAGCUAUCGGGAGGAUCUGCCAACCUGAGGGAGUGACACCAAUAAGGCAGCAUGCAAAACCUUCAGGGUAAAAUCCUCCAGAGGCCAAAAGUGUUAAAUCUCCCUGCGCCUGGAGGCUUUCUGAGGCACGGAUGACUGACGUUGUCCUUGGCCGCUGGGAAACGUUCCAGCACUCACAUCUUCUGGCCCAGGAUAGUAGCAUCAACCCAUCUGACAUCGAGCAGGUGUGGGGAGAAGCAGUACAGGGUGAAGGGCACCACACCAGGCCAGACCUAUACUGUGGACAUGCAUUUGUCCAGUAGGGCUCACGGGAGCUCCAUGCAGACACCAGGCUGCUGUGGUCCAGAUAUACAAAUGCCUGUCCAGCAACUUCCUCCUGACAACAUUAGAGAUGGGGGAUGAGUUGCUGAAGACAACAGGAGAUGGAUACCCUUUCACUACCCGUGGUGUGGGAAAAGGAUACAUCAACACCCUGGAAAGAUGUUUGGGGUGCACUCACUCAUAACAUGUUUUUGAGUGAUUAAUGAGUAUCAUCUUCAAGGUUGAUAAGAAGCCAUCAGUUACAAGUCAAAAAUACAGAUUAAGGCCUUCAAUCAAACUGAGGACAGAGAAAUAUGUGUGCACCGGGUCAAGGUUUCUUGCAUGCAUCACUUUUAGAUGCUGAAAACAAGUGGUUAAAUGCCUGAGGAAGAUGUGACUCUGCACAUGGGAAUAUCUUUGGUUUGUCUCUGACAUUCAGAAGCUGAGUUUCAGUGAGAAGCAUAGCAACAUCAAAGCAGUGAGAAGCAUAGCAACAUCAAAGCAGUGAGAAGCAUAGCAACAUCAAGUGCAUGUAUUAAAAAAUCUUUGGACGACGGACUUCCACUUCCACAUCUACAAAGUUCACUCAAAAAGGCAAUUGUUCUGAACCAAGUUAGAUUUUUAGUUUUAAUUCACAUUCACAUCUCUUUUAAACUUCAAUUGGUUAAUGGCUAAUUGCUCAGUUAUCACUUGGCUCAUGUAAAUUCUGUAGUUUCCCCAGGUCAACAUCCUCAUAGUGUUCACAUUUUUCUCAUGUAAAAGUUGUUGCUACAUGAGAAUUAAAUAAACCAUUUAUUUGGGAAA